GGCCCGGUGGUGUACUGUUAACACGUCCUCUUACCGUAAGUGAUACUGUUCGCGUCUCGAGGAAAUGCUCCGUUCGAUUCGGGGUCGGGCCA